UACGUAGGGUGCGAGCGUUAAUCGGAAUUACUGGGCGUAAAGCGCACGUAGGUGGCGACGUAAGUCGGGUGUGAAAGCCCCGGGCUCAACCUGGGAAUUGCAUUCGAGACUGCAUUGCUGGAGUACGGAAGAGGAGGGCGGAAUUCCCGGUGUAGCGGUGAAAUGCGUAGAUAUCGGGAGGAACAUCAGUGGCGAAGGCGGCCCUCUGGUCCAGUACUGACACUCAAGUGCGAAAGCGUGGGGAGCAAACAGG
rnacentral:rRNA from 1 species